UACAGAGGGGGCAAGCGUUGUUCGGAAUUACUGGGCGUAAAGGGCGCGUAGGCGGCCUGUUAAGUCGAACGUGAAAUCCCUGGGCUCAACCCACGAACUGCGUCCGACUAUGGCAGGCCUUGAAUUCGGGAGAGGGAUGCGGAAUUCCAGGUGUAGCGGUGAAAUGACGUAGAUAUCUGGAGGAACACCGGUGGCGAAGGCGGCAUCCUCGGACCGAGAUGACGCUGAGGCGCGAAAGCCAGGGAGCAACGGG
rnacentral:rRNA from 1 species